GGAAAGGCGCGCGAUACAGGGUGACAGCCCCGUACACAAAAAUGCACAUGCUGUGAGCUCGAUGAGUAGGGCGGGACACGUGGUAUCCUGUCUGAAUAUGGGGGGACCAUCCUCCAAGGCUAAAUACUCCUGACUGACCGAUAGUGAACCAGUACCGUGAGGGAAAGGCGAAAAGAACCCCGGCGAGGGGAGUGAAAAAGAACCUGAAACCGUGUACGUACAAGCAGUGGGAGCACGCUUAGGCGUGUGACUGCGUACCUUUUGUAUAAUGGGUCAGCGACUUAUAUUCUGUAGCAAGGUUAACCGAAUAGGGGAGCCGAAGGGAAACCGAGUCUUAACUGGGCGUUAAGUUGCAGGGUAUAGACCCGAAACCCGGUGAUCUAGCCAUGGGCAGGUUGAAGGUUGGGUAACACUAACUGGAGGACCGAACCGACUAAUGUUGAAAAAUUAGCGGAUGACUUGUGGCUGGGGGUGAAAGGCCAAUCAAACCGGGAGAUAGCUGGUUCUCCCCGAAAGCUAUUUAGGUAGCGCCUCGUGAAUUCAUCUCCGGGGGUAGAGCACUGUUUCGGCAAGGGGGUCAUCCCGACUUACCAACCCGAUGCAAACUGCGAAUACCGGAGAAUGUUAUCACGGGAGACACACGGCGGGUGCUAACGUCCGUCGUGAAGAGGGAAACAACCCAGACCGCCAGCUAAGGUCCCAAAGUCAUGGUUAAGUGGGAAACGAUGUGGGAAGGCCCAGACAGCCAGGAUGUUGGCUUAGAAGCAGCCAUCAUUUAAAGAAAGCGUAAUAGCUCACUGGUCGAGUCGGCCUGCGCGGAAGAUGUAACGGGGCUAAACCAUGCACCGAAGCUGCGGCAGCGACGCUGAUGCGUUGUUGGGUAGGGGAGCGUUCUGUAAGCCUGCGAAGGUGUGCUGUGAGGCAUGCUGGAGGUAUCAGAAGUGCGAAUGCUGACAUAAGUAACGAUAAAGCGGGUGAAAAGCCCGCUCGCCGGAAGACCAAGGGUUCCUGUCCAACGUUAAUCGGGGCAGGGUGAGUCGACCCCUAAGGCGAGGCCGAAAGGCGUAGUCGAUGGGAAACAGGUUAAUAUUCCUGUACUUGGUGUUACUGCGAAGGGGGGA
rnacentral:rRNA from 1 species